CCUGUUUGGUGAUGAGAGCCCGGUGUCUCAUUUACUUUCAUCACUCAGCUGACAGAUAAACGAUAUCCAGUCAUGUCCAUGGCACGCUGGGCCAUCAGCUGACCACAGAUCCAUGAGUGAGACCAGCAGAGAAAUCACCGGCUGAUUCCCAGAACUGUGGGCUUAAAGCUGUGGCUGUGUUUUCUUGAUUGUUUGUGUCUUAUGAAGUAAAAGAUAAUUGACAUGCCUUGGCUACUGCUAUUGUGAAAAUAGGCUGACAUAAGAGGCCCAAUACUUCAAUGGCCUGGUCUCUCCCUUUUGAACCAGAGUCUGACAUUGGACUGAAGGAGGCCCAGGGCCUAGCUCCUCCAGAGAGAGCCUAGUGAGGGAGUGGUCCUGAAGGGCUUGUAAGUCUGCACGAGGGUGCUGGUAGGAAUUCCCUGAGGCUCUAAGAAGCCUAGGGAGGGCUGUGGGGUUCUGGGUCAGGAAGCAGAGUUGGACAUCUUCCCAUGAGGCACCAGGGGAAGAGGCACCUCCCACCUGGAAGUCAAAGUCCCAGUACCCUGGGUGCCCUUCAGCCCAGACCUUGCUGAGGUAAGCUCCUUACCUGGACAAUCUCCAGGAUCCCCUUUGUGGCCCACUGCUCCUGGUAACCCAGGGGACCCUUUUAUUCCUUAAGGGCCCAACUUCCCAGGAGGACCCUGUAAGCCUCUGACCCCUUGGCCUGUAGGACAAGGGAACAGGACUCAGUAUCUCUGUUCUUGCUCUGUUUCUAUGAGAGUUUGAUUCCAGAAGAAACAAAUAUUGACCCAGAGCUGACUUUCAUCACUGCUUCCAGUCCCAAGAAGAAAACCUUCCCAAUGGGAUGCUUGUAGAGGACCACCCCAACUCCUGUGUGGAAGCUGGGCUGCCAGAGAAUCAGAGCUACAUCUCUGUUUUGAGUUAUAAUAUGCAGCCUAGAAAAGGACUGGAGAGGCGCAGGACUGGAAAAGAAUCAGAGAGGAAAUACAUACCAUCACACAGGCAGCAGAUGAUUCCUGCUAGGCUUUGGGUAAUGGCAGCUGGAUUAAGAAGUUGGAUGCAUUUGAGAAACAUCUACCAGGGAUGCUACAGGUGGGACAGAGGCAGCGAAUGGCAAGCAUCAGUGCCAUCCAGCCAGAAGCUACAAGGAAUACCCCUACAGUUGAUCCAGAUGAUGAUUUUUCU